rnacentral:rRNA from 1 species
UCCGUGCCAGCAGCCGCGGUAUUACAGAGGAUGCAAGCGUUAUCCGGAAUCAUUGGGCGUAAAGCGUCCGUAGGUGGCCGUUCAAGUCUGCUGUUAAAAGCUGGGGCUUAACCCCUGACAGGCAGUGGAAACUGAACAGCUAAAGUGUGGUAGGG